GCCGGGGUGGCGGAACUGGCAGACGCACAGGACUUAAAAUCCUGCGGUGAGUGAUCACCGUGCCGGUUCGAUUCCGGCCCUCGGCA
rfam:Solibacillus silvestris StLB046 DNA, complete genome.